rnacentral:rRNA from 1 species
AGCGAACGCUGGCGGCAGGCCUAACACAUGCAAGUCGAGCGGCCGUAGCAAUACGGCAGCGGCAGACGGGAGAGUAACACGUGGGAACGCGCCCUUCGGUCUGGAAUAACCCAGGGAAACUUGGGCUAAUACCGGAUACGCCCUUACGGGGAAAGAUUUAUUGCCGAAGGAACGGCCCGCGUCCGAUUAGCUAGUUGGUGAGGUAACGGCUCACCAAGGCGACGAUCGGUAGCUGGUCUGAGAGGAUGACCAGCCUCACUGGGACUGAGACACGGCCCAGACUCCUACGGGAGGCAGCAGUGGGGAAUAUUGGACAAUGGGCGCAAGCCUGAUCCAGCCAUGCCGCGUGGGUGAUGAAGGCCCUAGGAUUGUAAAGCCCUUUCAGCGGGGAAGAUAAUGACGGUACCCGCAGAAGAAGCCCCGGCUAACUUCGUGCCAGCCGCCGCCGUAAUAC